UACAGAGACUGCAAGCGUUAUUCGGAUUCACUGGGCGUAAAGGGUGCGCAGGCGGUUGGGUGUGUCAGAUGUGAAAUCCCGAGGCUCAACCUCGGAACUGCGUCUGAAACUACUCGACUAGAGUACUGGAGAGGGUAACGGAAUUCACGGUGUAGCAGUGAAAUGCGUAGAUAUCGUGAGGAACACCAGAGGCGAAGGCGGUUACCUGGACAGUUUACUGACGCUCAGGCACGAAAGCAUGGGGGAGCAAAAGGG
rnacentral:rRNA from 1 species